AUGUGUUGGGUUUGAAAGGUCCUGGAAGGUUUAAAGGUCGAAAGGUGAUGAAAUGAGUUGAAAGGGUCCUUGAAGGUGAAAGUGCUGAAGUGGAUCGAAUGGGUUGAGUUGGAAAGGUCCUGGAAGGUGAAAGAGUGAAAAGAUGAUGAUAUAUGUUGGGUUGGAAAGGUCCUGGAAGGUUUAAAGGUCGAAAGGUGAUGAAAUGAGUUGAAAGGGUCCUUGCAGGUGAAAGUGCUGAAGGGGAACGAAUGGGUUGAGUUGGAAAGGUCCUGGAAGGUGAAAGUGUGCUCUGUUUUUCCAUCUGUUUUCACACUGGAUCUCUUGUUUUCCAGCCAACAGAGGAAGCGGGGCGGCCGGCAGCUCGCAGACCGGCGACGCGCUGGGGAAAGCGCUUGCAUCUAUCUAUUCUCCAGAUCACACCAACACCAGCUUCCCAUCAAAUCCUUCAACUCCUGUCGGUUCUCCCCCUUCUCUCUCAGCAGGCACAGCUGUUUGGUCUAGAAAUGGAGGUCAAGCGUCAUCAUCUCCCAAUUAUGAAGGUCCCUUACACUCUUUGGUACGUUGCCAUCGACGACCUCCUCUUCCUCUUCCUCUUCCUCCACUUCCGCUUCCUCUUCCUCCACUUCCGCUUCCUCUUCCUCUUCCUCCUCUUCCUCUUCCUCGCGGUUAAUGAAUGACUUCAUCUCCUUUUUGUUCCGUUUCUCAUCCAUUCCUUCCCUUUUUCCCCCCGUCCCCCCUUUUCCCGGCCUCCAAACAAAGCUUUGGCUCGCGGUAGCCCGAUUUGGGCUUGCAGGUGGAUGGAUUUUUCGAGUCCGACGCGGAGGUGAGGGGCCUUCAGGUUGGCCAGUGAUGGGUGCGGGUCACUAGCCAAGGAUGGGUGAUGGUCACUGGCUCAGGAUGGGUGCUGAUCUGUGGCCCAGGAUGGGUGCUGGUCACUGGCUCAGUUUGGGUGCUGGUUGCUGGCCCAGGAUGGGUGCUGGUCACUAGCCCAGGAUGGGUGCUGGUCGUUGCCCAAGGAUGGGUGCUGUUCUUU